UACGAAGGGGGCUAGCGUUGUUCGGAAUUACUGGGCGUAAAGGGCUCGUAGGCGGCCCACUAAGUCCGACGUGAAAUCCCCAGGCUUAACUUGGGAACUGCGUCGGAUACUGGUGGGCUUGAAUCCGGGAGAGGGAUGCGGAAUUCCAGGUGUAGCGGUGAAAUGCGUAGAUAUCUGGAGGAACACCGGUGGCGAAGGCGGCAUCCUGGACCGGCAUUGACGCUGAGUGAGCGAAAGCCAGGGGAGCAAACGGG
rnacentral:rRNA from 1 species